UCAUAUCCUACGCUGGCUACGUAGUUCUACAAUGCAAGGACUGCUACUAAUGACUCUGCCUAACUAACAGGGAAGUCGUCACCCCUGAACUCAUUCGGUGCUUAAUCCUACUCCCAACUGAAAGACCUAGAAUAUUAGACUAACCAUGCUUAACUAUUUAAAAUACUAACUGAAAAGAUAGGGCUCAUAACUAAUCGGUAACCAUUCUAUAAAUACUAAAAAUCAAGGUAAGCAGCUAAAUUUUAGGCAUUCAAACCCCUAGGACUCGAUAACAAUAAUAGCAAGAUUGUACUAAAACUUGGAGGACAUGAUAUGUAAGCAUUUAUUCAAAACUCAUUCUUGUAGUCAUUUCAUCAAAC
rnacentral:lncRNA from 1 species